AGUGAACGCUGGCGGUAGGCCUAACACAUGCAAGUCGAACGGCAGCACAGUAAGAGCUUGCUCUUACGGGUGGCGAGUGGCGGACGGGUGAGGAAUACAUCGGAAUCUACUUUUUCGUGGGGGCUCACGUAGGGAAACUUACGCUAAUACCGCAUACGACCUACGGGUGAAAGCAGGGGAUCUUCGGACCUUGCGCGAUUGAAUGAGCCGAUGUCGGAUUAGCUAGUUGGCGGGGUAAAGGCCCACCAAGGCGACGAUCCGUAGCUGGUCUGAGAGGAUGAUCAGCCACACUGGAACUGAGACACGGUCCAGACUCCUACGGGAGGCAGCAGUGGGGAAUAUUGGACAAGGGGCGCAAGCCUGAUCCAGCCAUACCGCGGGGGUGAAGAAGGCCUGCGGGUUGUAAAGCCCUUUUGUUGGGAAAGAAAAGCAGCAGGUUAAUACCCCGCUGUUCUGACGGUACCCAAAGAAUAAGCACCGGCUAACUUCGU
rnacentral:rRNA from 1 species